GAUGAACGCUGGCUACAGGCUUAACACAUGCAAGUCGAGGGGAAACGACGGGGAAGCUUGCUUCCCCGGGCGUCGACCGGCGCACGGGUGAGUAACGCGUAUCCAACCUGCCUCUGACUGAGGGAUAACCCGUCGAAAGUCGGCCUAAUACCUCAUGGCAUCGUCUGCGGGCAUCCAACGACGAUUAAAGAUUUCAUCGGUCAGGGAUGGGGAUGCGUCUGAUUAGCUUGUUGGCGGGGUAACGGCCCACCAAGGCUACGAUCAGUAGGGGUUCUGAGAGGAAGGGCCCCCACAGUGGAACCGAGACACGGUCCAAACUCCUACGGGAGGCAGCAGUGAGGAAGAUUGGUCAAUGGGCGGGAGCCUGAACCAGCCAAGUAGCGUGCAGGAUGACGGCCCUAUGGGUUGUAAACUGCUUUUAUGCGGGGAUAAAGUGAGGGACGUGUCCUUCAUUGAAGGUACCGCAUGAAUAAGGACCGGCUAAUUCCGUG
rnacentral:rRNA from 1 species